rnacentral:piRNA from 1 species
UGAUAUGCUUUCUACCCUUGUCCUUCCUGG